CUCUUCUGUCCAGGUUUACAGUGUAUAAGAAGUACGGAUCCAGAAGAACUGUUUGGCUCAAGACACUUCCCUCCAGCAGGACACUAAGAUACAAUGUAGACUACAGUUAUCCAGAGCGACACAUCUUUGCCUCAUGUGAGAUUAAAAUGAAGAUGGUCUUAAGAUAUCCCCCCAAAAGGAAUAUUCUUGCUUUAUUUUUCUAUACGCCCGAAGCCACGUAAAGAAACAAGGAGUUACCAGCUAAAUGAUAGCGACCUGUGGGCUGAAAGUCACCUUUACUUUCCUUCUGAACAUAUGGAGUUACGGCAGAUUGAUGAAUCACUUACGAAUUUGCAUGCAGUUGCUCUCCAUCUCUUUCCUGUGUUUCAAGUACAUGGGCCACACGUGACCGUCAAACAGACCGGGAGGGUCAGGAACUGUGUAGGUUCUUGUGCUAUGUUUGGAAAUUACCAACAAUAAACAAGCAAAUUCUUAA